rnacentral:rRNA from 1 species
GACGAACGCUGGCGGCGUGCUUAACACAUGCAAGUCGAACGAUGAAGCCGGAGCUUGCUCUGGUGAAUUAGUGGCGAACGGGUGAGUAACACGUGAGUAACCUGCCCUUGACUCUGGGAUAACUGCGGGAAACUGUAGCUAAUACCGGAUACGACCCUCGGAGGCAUCUCCUGGGGGUGGAAAGAAUUUCGGCCAAGGAGGGACUCGCGGCCUAUCAGCUAGUUGGCGAGGUAACGGCUCACCAAGGCGACGACGGGUAGCCGGCCUGAGGGGGUGAACGGACACACUGGGACUGGGACACGGCCCAGACGCCUACGGGAGGCAGCAGGGGGGAAUAUGGCGCAGUGGGCGCAAGCCUGAUGCAGCAACGCCGCGUGGGGGAUGACGGCCUUCGGGUUGUAAACCUCUUUUAGUAGGGAAGAAGCGAAAGUGACGGUACCUGCAGAAAAAGCACCGGCUAACUACGUGCCAGCAGCCGCCGUAA